GCCUGGGUGGCUCAGUCGGUUGAGCUUCCGACUUCAGCUCAGGCCAUGAUCUCACAGUCUGUGAGUUUGAGCCCCACUUCGGGCU
rnacentral:tRNA from 1 species